CCUACGGGAGGCAGCAGUAGGGAAUCUUUCACAAUGGGCGAAAGCCUGAUGGAGCAACGCCGCGUGCAGGAUGAAGGCCUUCGGGUUGUAAACUGCUUUUAUAAGCGAGGAAUCUGAUGGUAACUUAUGAAUAAGGAUCGACUAACUACGUGCCAGCAGCCGCGGUCAUACGUGGGAUCCGAGCAUUAUCCGGAGUGACUGGGUGUAAAGAGUUGCGUAGGUGGCAUACUAAGUAGCUAGUGAAAUCCGGUGGCUCAACCAUUCAGACUAUUAGCUAAACUGUUAAGCUCGAGAACGUUAGGGGUAACUGGAAUUUCUAGUGUAGGAGUGAAAUCCGUAGAUAUUAGAAAGAACACCGAUAGCGUAGGCAGGUUACUGGGACGGUUCUGACACUAAGGCACGAAAGCGUAGGGAGCAAACGGGAUUAGAUACCCUAGUAGUC
rnacentral:rRNA from 1 species